rnacentral:rRNA from 1 species
ACUCCUACGGGAGGCAGCAGUAGGGAAUCUUCCACAAUGGACGCAAGUCUGAUGGAGCAACGCCGCGUGAGUGAAGAAGGGUUUCGGCUCGUAAAGCUCUGUUGUUAAAGAAGAACGUGGGUGAGAGUAACUGUUCACCCAGUGACGGUAUUUAACCAGAAAGCCACGGCUAACUACGUGCCAGCAGCCGCGGUAAUACGUAGGUGGCAAGCGUUAUCCGGAUUUAUUGGGCGUAAAGCGAGCGCAGGCGGUCUUUUAAGUCUAAUGUGAAAGCCUUCGGCUCAACCGAAGAAGUGCAUUGGAAACUGGGAGACUUGAGUGCAGAAGAGGACAGUGGAACUCCAUGUGUAGCGGUGAAAUGCGUAGAUAUAUGGAAGAACACCAGUGGCGAAGGCGGCUGUCUGGUCUGUAACUGACGCUGAGGCUCGAAAGCAUGGGUAGCGAACAGGAUUAGAUACCCCUGGUAGGAUAGCG